GUCUAUGGCCACACCCCCCUGAACACACCAGAUCCCAUCUGAUCUUGGAAGCUAUGCAGGGUCGGGCCUGGUUAGCACUUGGAUGGGAGACGUGACCAAACCUUGACGUCAGUGGCU
rnacentral:rRNA from 1 species